GAAGCUAAUAUUGAUGUGGCAGGGAGAAUAUGCGUGAAGUUUGAGUAUGCUUUUGAGAAUGAGCGGAGCUCUCCAGUCGACGUGCUCUCUGAAAAGUUGUUAUUUAUUCCAAAACCACCAAGAUAUUCGACGUAUGACACCCUCAGUGACACUCUUACUUAUGAUCCACACCUACGAAGCCAAAAGUUGCAAGAAUUCGACGCAUUUCCGAGGCCCAAUUUUGAAACAAAAAUCGCCUCCUAUUUAGCGGCCACAACGCGCAUUAUAGUAUAGAUAGACUUCAGCCCCAGUGACGUAUUUACGACAAAUCCCAAAACGAGUCCGUACCACAAAUAAGCGUGGAAAAGAGGAACAAACUUCAAACUUUGGUAAAAUACUGAAUUUUGAAAGAGAUAUCCCAGACGCUGUGGUAGUUUAGGUACCUCGUCUCUCCAAGCCAUACCGCAACCAUGAGGCAGCUAAAGGGUAAACCGAAAAAAGAAACGGCCAAAGAUAAACGAGAAAGGAGACAAGACAAUGCCAAAAAUAGACAACACUUAUUGACAGUUGUUCUUCCAGUGCUUCUGUUGGUAGCGGCUGUCGUUGUUGGACUUGUUUAUAUAAAGACGCGUCCCAGGACCCCAGUACAGAUGUAACAGCCAUGACUAGGACUUGAAUUAAUGAUGUACAUAUGUACAUAAGAUUUUCAAGCAUUUUUGAAAGCGGACACUGUCGACGACCAGAAACGGGUGUAUAGAGUGGAGAAUCUCAUAUUUUGUUAACGAAUUUGGGAAUUUGCAGCAUCAUCAUCAUCUUGAAAUAACUCGUUUUAGUCAGAGCGGUGAUAUGAUAUUCAAGAGUUCAACAAACUAUAUUGUAUAUAAUUAUGUAUAUCUACGCUUCUGAGUGUAUUCAACAGACUAUGCAGCAUCAUCUUAACAUUACAUUCCUGACAAAAGGAGCUUGAGGUGUUCUAGAAUAGAAAUUCAGGGCUUGUGGUAAGUUUCAAAAUGGUAGAGCAUUUUCUGUAAAAGGGCACUUGGCAAUUGGGAGAGAACGACUCUGUGAAUUUCUAGUCAUGGAGAUUGACAUCUCAUAUAUCAGUACAGGUUGUCUCACCAUUCACAGCUUGGGUGGAGCUGUCAUUUUCCCAAAACCCUCUGCGAAGAAUCUUUGGUUUGACAUACAAUAGACCCAAUGAGAUCCGUUCCAAUCCGAAUGCGGUCUAUAUUUCCCUGGCGUAAACGCAAACCAAUAGCUCCAUCCUCAUAGUGCUCAGUGAGACCAACAGUACUACCAGUUCAAUAUCAUUUUUAAACCAUGUUCACUAGUCUCUGAGUGGAGUCAAGGUGACUGAAAGGUCACGCAUGCCAAUGAACUUUCAUCUUCAUGUGCCACAGUCAUUACUUAUGCCUCUAAAGAAUAUUACUAAUGUCAUAAAGUUUUCAUUAUGAGAAACUCUUAUUUUUAUUGUACAGUUUACACAAAAUGUGUCGCUGUAUGUGUUGCAUAUUUUAUGAAAGUUUACAUUUAUCGACUCUAUGUUACCUUAUCGAUGCAUUACCAAAGCUAAGGAUUUGUGAUCUGAAUGAUAUGACCAACACAAUAAAGAAGUUUAUUGCUAUUUUA